rnacentral:rRNA from 1 species
UUAAGCGACUAAGCGUACACGGUGGAUGCCCUGGCAGUCAGAGGCGAUGAAGGACGUGCUAAUCUGCGAAAAGCGCCGGCGAGGUGAUAUGAACCUUUGACCCGGCGAUGUCCGAAUGGGGAAACCCAGUGCAAUCCGUUGCACUAUCGUUAACUGAAUACAUAGGUUAACGAGGCGAACCGGGGGAACUGAAACAUCUAAGUACCCCGAGGAAAAGAAAUCAACCGAGAUUCCCCCAGUAGCGGCGAGCGAACGGGGAGCAGCCCGGAGUCUGAAUCAGCUUGUGUGUUAGUGGAACGGUCUGGAAAGUCCGACGGUACAGGGUGAUAGUCCCGUACAUGAAAGCACACAUGCUGUGAACUCGAAGAGUAGGGCGGGACACGUGGUAUCCUGUCUGAAUAUGGGGGGACCAUCCUCCAAGGCUAAAUACUCCUGACUGACCGAUAGUGAACCAGUACCGUGAGGGAAAGGCGAAAAGAACCCCGGCGAGGGGAGUGAAAAAGAACCUGAAACCGUGUACGUACAAGCAGUGGGAGCACCUUCGUGGUGUGACUGCGUACCUUUUGUAUAAUGGGUCAGCGACUUAUAUUCUGUAGCAAGGUUAACCGUAUAGGGGAGCCGAAGGGAAACCGAGUCUUAACUGGGCGUUAAGUUGCAGGGUAUAGACCCGAAACCCGGUGAUCUAGCCAUGGGCAGGUUGAAGGUUGGGUAACACUAACUGGAGGACCGAACCGACUAAUGUUGAAAAAUUAGCGGAUGACUUGUGGCUGGGGGUGAAAGGCCAAUCAAACCGGGAGAUAGCUGGUUCUCCCCGAAAGCUAUUUAGGUAGCGCCUCGUGAAUUCAUCUCCGGGGGUAGAGCACUGUUUCGGCUAGGGGGCCAUCCCGGCUUACCAACCCGAUGCAAACUGCGAAUACCGGAGAAUGUUAUCACGGGAGACACACGGCGGGUGCUAACGUCCGUCGUGAAGAGGGAAACAACCCAGACCGCCAGCUAAGGUCCCAAAGUCAUGGUUAAGUGGGAAACGAUGUGGGAAGGCACAGACAGCCAGGAUGUUGGCUUAGAAGCAGCCAUCAUUUAAAGAAAGCGUAAUAGCUCACUGGUCGAGUCGGCCUGCGCGGAAGAUGUAACGGGGCUAAACCAUGCACCGAAGCUGCGGCAGCGACACUAUGUGUUGUUGGGUAGGGGAGCGUUCUGUAAGCCGUUGAAGGUGUGCUGUGAGGCAUGCUGGAGGUAUCAGAAGUGCGAAUGCUGACAUAAGUAACGAUAAAGCGGGUGAAAAGCCCGCUCGCCGGAAGACCAAGGGUUCCUGUCCAACGUUAAUCGGGGCAGGGUGAGUCGACCCCUAAGGCGAGGCCGAAAGGCGUAGUCGAUGGGAAACAGGUUAAUAUUCCUGUACUCGGUGUUACUGCGAAGGGGGGACGGAGAAGGCUAUGUUGGCCGGGCGACGGUUGUCCCGGUUUAAGCAUGUAGGCGGAGGUUCCAGGUAAAUCCGGUACCUUGUUAACGCUGAGGUGUGAUGACGAGGCACUACGGUGCUGAAGCAACAAAUGCCCUGCUUCCAGGAAAAGCCUCUAAGCAUCAGGUAACAUCAAAUCGUACCCCAAACCGACACAGGUGGUCAGGUAGAGAAUACCAAGGCGCUUGAGAGAACUCGGGUGAAGGAACUAGGCAAAAUGGUGCCGUAACUUCGGGAGAAGGCACGCUGAUAUGUAGGUGAAGCCCCUGCGGGUGGAGCUGAAAUCAGUCGAAGAUACCAGCUGGCUGCAACUGUUUAUUAAAAACACAGCACUGUGCAAACACGAAAGUGGACGUAUACGGUGUGACGCCUGCCCGGUGCCGGAAGGUUAAUUGAUGGGGUUAUCCGUAAGGAGAAGCUCUUGAUCGAAGCCCCGGUAAACGGCGGCCGUAACUAUAACGGUCCUAAGGUAGCGAAAUUCCUUGUCGGGUAAGUUCCGACCUGCACGAAUGGCGUAAUGAUGGCCAGGCUGUCUCCACCCGAGACUCAGUGAAAUUGAAAUCGCUGUGAAGAUGCAGUGUACCCGCGGCAAGACGGAAAGACCCCGUGAACCUUUACUAUAGCUUGACACUGAACACUGGUCCUUGAUGUGUAGGAUAGGUGGGAGGCUUUGAAGCGUGGACGCCAGUCUGCGUGGAGCCAUCCUUGAAAUACCACCCUUUAAUGGCUGGUGUUCUAACGUGGACCCGUUACCCGGGUUGCGGACAGUGUCUGGUGGGUAGUUUGACUGGGGCGGUCUCCUCCUAAAGAGUAACGGAGGAGCACGAAGGUUAGCUAAUCCUGGUCGGACAUCAGGAGGUUAGUGCAAUGGCAUAAGCUAGCUUGACUGCGAGAGUGACGGCUCGAGCAGGUGCGAAAGCAGGUCAUAGUGAUCCGGUGGUUCUGUAUGGAAGGGCCAUCGCUCAACGGAUAAAAGGUACUCCGGGGAUAACAGGCUGAUACCGCCCAAGAGUUCAUAUCGACGGCGGUGUUUGGCACCUCGAUGUCGGCUCAUCACAUCCUGGGGCUGAAGUAGGUCCCAAGGGUAUGGCUGUUCGCCAUUUAAAGUGGUACGCGAGCUGGGUUUAGAACGUCGUGAGACAGUUCGGUCCCUAUCUGCCGUGGGCGCUGGAGAAUUGAGGGGGGCUGCUCCUAGUACGAGAGGACCGGAGUGGACGCAUCACUGGUGUUCGGGUUGUCAUGCCAAUGGCACUGCCCGGUAGCUAAAUGCGGAAGAGAUAAGUGCUGAAAGCAUCUAAGCACGAAACUUGCCCCGAGAUGAGUUCUCCCUGAC